rnacentral:rRNA from 2 species
UUGAUUGGUGCUUGCAUCAUGAUUUACAUUUGAGUGAGUGGCGAACUGGUGAGUAACACGUGGGAAACCUGCCCAGAAGCGGGGGAUAACACCUGGAAACAGAUGCUAAUACCGCAUAACAACUUGGACCGCAUGGUCCGAGUUUGAAAGAUGGCUUCGGCUAUCACUUUUGGAUGGUCCCGCGGCGUAUUAGCUAGAUGGUGGGGUAACGGCUCACCAUGGCAAUGAUACGUAGCCGACCUGAGAGGGUAAUCGGCCACAUUGGGACUGAGACACGGCCCAAACUCCUACGGGAGGCAGCAGUAGGGAAUCUUCCACAAUGGACGAAAGUCUGAUGGAGCAACGCCGCGUGAGUGAAGAAGGGUUUCGGCUCGUAAAACUCUGUUGUUAAAGAAGAACAUAUCUGAGAGUAACUGUUCAGGUAUUGACGGUAUUUAACCAGAAAGCCACGGCUAACUACGUGCCAGCAGCCGCGGUAAUACGUAGGUGGCAAGCGUUGUCCGGAUUUAUUGGGCGUAAAGCGAGCGCAGGCGGUUUUUUAAGUCUGAUGUGAAAGCCUUCGGCUCAACCGAAGAAGUGCAUCGGAAACUGGGAAACUUGAGUGCAGAAGAGGACAGUGGAACUCCAUGUGUAGCGGUGAAAUGCGUAGAUAUAUGGAAGAACACCAGUGGCGAAGGCGGCUGUCUGGUCUGUAACUGACGCUGAGGCUCGAAAGUAUGGGUAGCAAACAGGAUUAGAUACCCUGGUAGUCCAUACCGUAAACGAUGAAUGCUAAGUGUUGGAGGGUUUCCGCCCUUCAGUGCUGCAGCUAACGCAUUAAGCAUUCCGCCUGGGGAGUACGGCCGCAAGGCUGAAACUCAAAGGAAUUGACGGGGGCCCGCACAAGCGGUGGAGCAUGUGGUUUAAUUCGAAGCUACGCGAAGAACCUUACCAGGUCUUGACAUACUAUGCAAAUCUAAGAGAUUAGACGUUCCCUUCGGGGACAUGGAUACAGGUGGUGCAUGGUUGUCGUCAGCUCGUGUCGUGAGAUGUUGGGUUAAGUCCCGCAACGAGCGCAACCCUUAUUAUCAGUUGCCAGCAUUAAGUUGGGCACUCUGGUGAGACUGCCGGUGACAAACCGGAGGAAGGUGGGGAUGACGUCAAAUCAUCAUGCCCCUUAUGACCUGGGCUACACACGUGCUACAAUGGAUGGUACAACGAGUUGCGAACUCGCGAGAGUAAGCUAAUCUCUUAAAGCCAUUCUCAGUUCGGAUUGUAGGCUGCAACUCGCCUACAUGAAGUCGGAAUCGCUAGUAAUCGCGGAUCAGCAUGCCGCGGUGAAUACGUUCCCGGGCCUUGUACACACCGCCCGUCACACCAUGAGAGUUUGUAACACCCAAAGUCG